GGAUAAAGAUCUCUUUUAUGUGUGACCCCAUCGAUUUUAUUUUUUCUGGUAGUGAGAUAUACUGUGAUUCCCAUCACAAUAUCAUCGAAACUCCUUUCGAUGGAUUGGAAUGAUUCCAACUUUGCUCAUCAAGAGUCAUCGAUCAUCAAGAUAAUGCUCGACAAGUCUUACAAUCCACCAAUGACAUCUAACAGUAUGUAGUGGUAAUCCAGC
rnacentral:lncRNA from 1 species